rnacentral:rRNA from 1 species
AUGCGGCGGCACUACGCCGAGCUCUUCCGCCGCGCCGCCUCGCUGCCGUCUCUCUCGCUGGUGGCCUCCCUCCACGGCGCCGCACUCCGCCGAGGCGCGGUCCUCGUCCCCUCGCUCAUCCAUGCCUACUCCGCGUGCGGCGACCCAGCCUCCGCCCGCAGCGUGUUCGACGGAUUGCCCGCACAGGAGCAGACGCUCUCCGCGCGCACCGCGCUGGCCAGCGCGAUGUCCGCGCACGGCAGGUGCCGGGAGGUGCUCGGCCUGUUCCGCGGACGGGAGGGGGAGAUGGACGACAAGGCGGUGACGGUGGUCCUUGCCGCGGCCGGGAUGGUCAGUGAGGGGAGGGAAGUCUUCGCGAGGGUCAGGAGGCCAGCGUUGCAGCACUACACGUGCAUGGUGGAGAUGCUCGGACGUGCUGGGGAGGUCGAGGAGGCAGAGGGGCUGCUCGCGCGGAUGGAGGCACGGCCAGACAGGAUCAUCUGCACGGUGCUGCUCGCUGCGUGCCGGGCGCAUGGCCGUGUCGAUGUGGCUGAGAGAGUGGCUAGGUUGAUGAGCGAGUAUGGCAUUGUGUGA